rnacentral:rRNA from 1 species
GUGGGGAAUCUUAGACAAUGGGGGCAACCCUGAUCUAGCCAUGCCGCGUGAGUGAUGAAGGCCUUAGGGUCGUAAAGCUCUUUCGCCGGGGAAGAUAAUGACUGUACCCGGUAAAGAAACCCCGGCUAACUCCGUGCCAGCAGCCGCGGUAAUACGGAGGGGGUUAGCGUUGUCCGGAAUUACUGGGCGUAAAGCGCGCGUAGGCGGAUCGGAAAGUUGGGGGUGAAAUCCCGGGGCUCAACCCCGGAAUUGCCUUCAAAACUCCCGGUCUUGAGGUCGAGAGAGGUGAGUGGAAUUCCGAGUGUAGAGGUGAAAUUCGUAGAUAUUCGGAGGAACACCAGUGGCGAAGGCGGCUCACUGGCUCGAUACUGACGCUGAGGUGCGAAAGCGUGGGGAGCAAACAGGAUUAGAAACCCUGGUAGUCC